CGCAAAAUAAAGAAAAGAGAUGCAGAAGAAAAUAACAGUGAGCUAUACUAAGGCAAGAGAUAAGAGGAAAACUAUGGCUGCUUUGAGAACCAUGCUCAUGCAUUUUUUUUAUGUAUCUACCAUUAGAGGCGGAUCAAAUUUGGGCUGUGGUGGAAGAGAAGAACAGCCGUAGAUGCCGAUUGCAGCUCACGUUCUGCAAAACAGAAGGAGAAAGAAAAAAGACAAUUUUUUUUUUUUUUUUUUAAAGAUUUGACCAAAACUGUUGUUUUGAGUCAAAUCAUUAAAAAAAAAAAAAAAAAAAAACUAAAAAGCACUGCAACAUAAGAGAUCUUUCGGAUCCACAUGAAAGAGCAUUUAGUAGUAGCAAACAUUUUUUUUGAACAAACGAUAUUGUUUACAUUAAGAUAGAAAUGGUGGCUUUAAUUAAUUUUACAAUGAAUUAGUAAUAAUAUGAUUCAAAUUCGCUUUUAGUAUUAGCAACAUUUUUAAUUCAAAAGUUCAAAGCAUUUUCAAAUGACUUUUGAGUAAACCCAAAGCCAUUAAACCCUAAAAAGAAAUCCAUGUUUGAGACCCUUCGGAACCACGUGAAAGAGAAUUUAAUGGUCACCAGAGCACCUUAACCCCGUGUACCAGUUAUACUGAAAAAUCUGUCCUCAAUCCCACUAUCUCCCAUUCCCCACCCCACUUGACCACCAAAGGCCACCGCUAGCAGUACAACACCAGACUCUCUCUCUCCAUAACGUUGACAAUGAAACUAUCAUGACAUGUUUUGAACAGUCUUUGUAUCUUGUAUUGUUGUUUGUACAAAGAUUAUGGAUGAAAAAAAUGUAGUUUGUUGUUUAUUUUUUCAAUUUAUCUUCGUCUAAUUUUUAUUGGAACUUUUAUAUUGGGACAA